GAUGCCCCCCCCCUUCCCCACCACCCCACAUCCGGUAACAUGAAAACAACUUUUUAGUAUCACUUCUCAACCGUUGCACGAUAGAUCACAAAAUGUCCGUGUUAAAUUGG